GCCAGAAACGCGCGGCGCUCGCGACGAGCGCCUGACGCGACGGUCUCGCGUGUUGCGCACCCAAGAGGUCGCGCUCGAUGACGCCCAAGAGAGCCAGUUGGUCAAGGUCGGCUGCGAGUGCGUCGCGUCGGUCGAGCGCGUAGAGCACGACCGCCGUGGCCAUGUCGACGUAGGCGUCGACAGACAGUGAGUCGAUGUCGGGCACAUGCUGCCCACGGCGCUCUUGGAACAAACCCGCGUGCAUCCUCUGGGCCGUAUUCUUAUUCGCGUUCCUUUUUUCUCCCUUAUCUUCCUUUGCUCUCCUGCACGCGCACAACCACGCACGCGCGCCCACACGUGAGCAAGCGCCGAAACGAUAGUGGAAGAUGGUGUCGCGACAGCAUGCCACAGACAGAAAGGCAACGAACGCAGACGGCCACAGCAACAUGAUGUGGUCUUGUCCGACGGCCAGAACCGGCGCCUCUUGUGCCUCUUGAUUUUAUCUCUCUUGUUGUGGCCGCCGUGUCGGCGGUGGCAAUGAUCAUCUUUCUUUUGAAGAAAAAAAAAGAAGGUGAGGGGGAGAUUACCUCGACCAAGGAGACGGGAGACGCCACAGACGAUGUCGGCGCGGGGCGGCUGCAGCGUCGGUGUUUGACAAAGAGAAAAAGGAAAGAAAAAAAAGCGAUAGAGGCUGUGGCGUGUGCGUGACCGGUCGGCGUGCGCCCCAGAUUGUAGGCGGCCGGCGGAGGGCGCAAAGAGAUGGGGGUGGUUCCAAAAGGCGGAAAAAAGAAGAUAAAAAGGUGCUGUGCAGACAGACACAGAUGUCGCCCUCUAGCGCUGGGACGGUGUGGUGGCUGUGCCGUUGCCGUGCAAGUGGUAAACAAGACGCCGUCGCGCUAUCCCGUCACAGACACGACCGUGGCAGGGAACAAGGGCAACCACCAUUGACGCGUGAUAGGCUGCGAUAUUUUCGUUCCGGUUGCACCGCAUAAUACACAAAGACCCGAUUGGUAUAACGAAAUGCUGACGGGAAUGUUUUAAAAAAG
rnacentral:lncRNA from 1 species